AGAUUAAGUUAUUAAGGGCGCACGGUGGAUGCCUUGGCACUAGAAGCCGAUGAAGGACGUUACUAACGACGAUAUGCUUUGGGGAGCUGUAAGUAAGCUUUGAUCCAGAGAUUUCCGAAUGGGGAAACCCAGCAUGAGUUAUGUCAUGUUAUCGAUAUGUGAAUACAUAGCAUAUCAGAAGGCACACCCGGAGAACUGAAACAUCUUAGUACCCGGAGGAAGAGAAAGAAAAUUCGAUUCCCUUAGUAGCGGCGAGCGAAACGGGAAGAGCCCAAACCAACAAGCUUGCUUGUUGGGGUUGUAGGACACUCUAUACGGAGUUACAAAGGACGACAUUAGACGAAUCAUCUGGAAAGAUGAAUCAAAGAAGGUAAUAAUCCUGUAGUCGAAAAUGUUGUCUCUCUUGAGUGGAUCCUGAGUACGACGGAGCACGUGAAAUUCCGUCGGAAUCUGGGAGGACCAUCUCCUAAGGCUAAAUACUCUCUAGUGACCGAUAGUGAACCAGUACCGUGAGGGAAAGGUGAAAAGCACCCCGGAAGGGGAGUGAAAUAGAACCUGAAACCGUGUGCUUACAAGUAGUCAGAGCCCGUUAAUGGGUGAUGGCGUGCCUUUUGUAGAAUGAACCGGCGAGUUACGAUUUGAUGCAAGGUUAAGCAGUAAAUGUGGAGCCGUAGCGAAAGCGAGUCUGAAUAG
rnacentral:rRNA from 1 species